CCUACGGGGGGCAGCAGUGGGGAAUAUUGGACAAUGGGGGCAACCCUGAUCCAGCCAUGCCGCGUGUGUGAAGAAGGCCCUCGGGUUGUAAAGCACUUUCAGUGAGGAAGAACGCCUGGUGGUUAAUACCCAUCAGGAAAGACAUCACUCACAGAAGAAGCACCGGCUAACUCCGUGCCAGCAGCCGCGGUAAUACGGAGGGUGCGAGCGUUAAUCGGAAUUACUGGGCGUAAGCGCGCGUAGGUGGCUUGAUAAGCCGGUUGUGAAAGCCCCGGGCUCAACCUGGGAACGGCAUCCGGAACUGUCAAGCUAGAGUGCAGGAGAGGAAGGUAGAAUUCCCGGUGUAGCGGUGAAAUGCGUAGAGAUCGGGAGGAAUACCAGUGGCGAAGGCGGCCUUCUGGACUGACACUGACACUGAGGUGCGAAAGCGUGGGUAGCAAACAGGAUUAGAUACCCGAGUAGUC
rnacentral:rRNA from 1 species